rnacentral:lncRNA from 1 species
CUUGCACCAGUGGCUUCCCCGAGGCUCUCAGGCCCCCGGCCUCAGACUGAAGACUGCACUGCGGGCUUUCCUGGUUUUGAGGCUUUUGGACUUGGACUGAGCCACUACUAGCUUCUCUCUUUCCCUACCUGGCAGACAGCCUGUUGUGGGACUGCCUUCUAACCGUGUGAACCAAUUCUCUCUGGGAGCUUAUAGCUUCAUUGCACUGUGUGUGGCAUUUGGGUCCUGUUUGACAGCAAUGACUGCCUUUCUGUUUAGUGUCUGUGUGCUAUGAAGAUUGCACACAGGGGUCCAGAUGCAUCCUGUUUUGAGAAUGUUAAUGGAUACACCAGCUGCUGCUUUGGAUUUCACCCAUUGGUGGUAGUGGACCCGCUGUUUGGAAUGCAGACAAUUUAAGUGAAGACAUAUCCAUAUAUGUGGCUCUGUUACAAUGGUGAAAUCUACAACCAUAAGAAGCCAAAAAUGUGAGUAUGACAUACAAAGAGAAAUACAUCAAGGACUUUUCAUCCUCAUAGUUUGCCAGUGAUGCUGGAGAGUGUCAGAAUUGGUGCAGCACCAGUUUGAAUUUGAAUACCAGACCAAAGUGGAUGGUGAGAUAAUCCUUCAUCUUUAUGACAAAGGAGGAAUUGAGCAAACAAUUUGUACGUUGGUUGGUGUGUUUGCAUUUGUUUUACUGGAUUCUGCCAAUAAGAAAGUGUCCCUGGACAGAGAUACAUAAGGAGUCAGACCUUUGUUUAAAGCAGUGACAGAAGAUGGAUUUUUGGCUGUGCGUUCAGAAGCUAAAGAAUUGUAAUUGUUCCUUAUGUACGCCAGACACAAAUCCCUUGUGUUCAUCAGGGUUGCAGGAUACAAGAUCAAUAUACAAAAAUCAAUAGUAUUUGACACACUUUAACUGAGUACUACAUACUCACAAUGAGCAAUCAGAAAAUGAAAUUAAGAAAGCAACUUCAUUUAUCAUAGCAUCAACAAGAAUAAAAUACUGAUAUAUUUAAGAAGUGUAAAACUUGUACUCUGAAAACUAUAGAACAUUUUUGAAAGAAAUGAAAGAAGAUCUAAAUAAAUGUAAAAGUAUCCCAUGAUCAUGGACCUAAGGCUUAACAUUGUUAAGAAGGCAAUACUCCCUAAACUCAUCUACAAAUUUAACUUCAUCCCUGUCAGAAUCCCGGAUGAGUUCUCUGUAAAAUGGACAAGCUGACUCUGAAAUUCAUAUGGAAUUACAAAGGACUAGGAAUAGCCAAAAUAAUCUUUUGAAAAUGAGAACAAAGUAGGAGAACUCAUACUUACUGACUUUAAAACUUACUACAAGUCAGUGGUAAUCAGGACAAUAUAAUACUGGCAGAAGGAUAGAUGUAUAGACCAGUGGGAUAGAAUUGAGAGUCAGAUAUGAACCCAUACAUAUAUAACCACUGCUUUUGACAAGGGUGC